AUGAUGGGGAUUUUCAAUGAAAAAGCCUAUUGGCUCAAAUGAAAAAUACCACUCCAUAGCAACAAGUUAUAUUCUAUCAGUUCAUUCCAUUUAGCCUACUCUUCCUCAAUGACAUGUUAAUAUGUUAAAGACAGUAAUUCCCCACUGAUUUUAUUUCCCUUAAUUCUUGUACUCUCACUACUUUUUGCAAGAGAAAUUUUGUGGAAAUAGCCUCCAAACUCCCAUCACAGUGGUAUAGGAAAGUGUCUUGAUCGCUAAACUUAAAAAAUACCAUAUUUUAAAAUUAAUAUUUGGGGAAGGAAUGUCCUGAGAAUAAACUUCUAAUGACCUAAGAAAGAAAACAUCACAGAACAAUGACCCUUUCAAGAGAUAGACAGGUUUAAUAAAUACAUAUCCUGCUCAUCAAAGUCCACCUGUAGUGUUAAUAAAAUAGAAGCAGGCUGCUAGAAAUUACAUGUUAAGAAUUAGCUCUGCAAAAGGGGACCUUUGUUCCAUACAGUGUUGUUUUGCCUUUAACAGCUUUCAACGCUGUUAGUCUGAGGAAGGGAAGAAAGUCACCGUCUCUCUCACUUUGGUUUAUUUUGUACAUGAGCUGCAUACAUCACAGAUGAUCAGCCACUGUGGUAUUUGAAACACUGGAUAUUUUCACAUGAGUUUCAUCAGACUGGCAAGCUGGGAGAACCAGUGGUGUGAAAGAAAGAAGGCAGAUUGGCAAUGAAAGAAGUGGCAAAUUCUUCAUGCAGUGGAUAUCAGCUCAGAGAACUAGAGGAAGAGGUGUCAACACCAACAUCAAAUGAGGCACCACCAUUACUCACUGCAUGUUGACCAAUCAGAAGCUCUGCUGCCAUUAUUAAAACUUAGGUAACUACCCCUGGAGGUAUGUCUCCCCCAGUUUGAGAACCAUUGCUGUAGGCGAACCAAGGGACUACAUUGUCAGAAAUAGAAGACCCACCUGGAGCAAGUGGAGGGAGAAGACACUGACCAAACCUGAGAAAUCACAAAGAGAAAUGAGACUAGAGUGAUUAUGUCAAGGAAUAUGUUGUUUUGCGUAGUGUUUAUUUUUAAAGUAAAGUGGGUAUGUUUGAGAUGUU